AUUGAACGCUGGCGGCAGGCCUAACACAUGCAAGUCGAACGAGUGGCGGACGGGUGAGUAAUGUCUGGGAAACUGCCUGAUGGAGGGGGAUAACUACUGGAAACGGUAGCUAAUACCGCAUACCAUCGGAUGUGCCCAGAUGGGAUUAGCUAGUUGGUGGGGUAAAGGCUCACCAAGGCGACGAUCCCUAGCUGGUCUGAGAGGAUGACCAGCCACACUGGAACUGAGACACGGCCCAGAAUCCUACGGGAGGCAGCAGUGGGGAAUAUGGAGCAAUGGGCGAAAGCCUGAUGCAGCCAUGCCGCGUGAAUGAAGAAGGCUUUCGGUUUGUAAAGUACUUUCGGCGGGGAGGCGUUACCCGAAGAAGAAGCACCGGCUAACUCCGUGCCAGCAGCCGCGGUAAUAC
rnacentral:rRNA from 1 species